rnacentral:rRNA from 1 species
UGAACGCUGGCGGCGUGCCUACUACAUGCAAGUCGAGCGAACAGACGCGGAGCUUGCUCCUCUGACGUUAGCGGCGGACGGGUGAGUAACACGUGGAUAACCUACCUAUAAGACUGGGAUAACUUCGGGAAACCGGAGCUAAUACCGGAUAAUAUAUUGAACCGCAUGGUUCAAUAGUGAAAGACGGUUUUGCUGUCACUUAUAGAUGGAUCCGCGCCGCAUUAGCUAGUUGGUAAGGUAACGGCUUACCAAGGCAACGAUGCGUAGCCGACCUUAGAGGGUGAUCGGCCACACUGGAACUGAGACACGGUCCAGACUCCUACGGGAGGCAGCAGUAGGGAAUCUUCCGCAAUGGGCGAAAGCCUGACGGAGCAACGCCGCGUGAGUGAUGAAGGUCUUCGGAUCGUAAAACUCUGUUAUUAGGGAAGAACAAAUGUGUAAGUAACUAUGCACGUCUUGACGGUACCUAAUCAGAAAGCCACGGCUAACUACGUG